AGAAAGAAGGCCGAAGGGAAGAAGGUGGUGCUCACCCUUGCUGUCUUGAAAAAGCAGGAGACCAUGAAAGUGGUGAAUCUUCCAUUUGAGAAAUUUGGCACUGGACAGGACAUUUUGGCAUUGGACAGAACAUCCAGCCCAAAAGGGACCUCACUUACUUUGUCAAAUGGCCCCAUUAUACUAGGUUGCAGCAGCAGAGAGCCAUCCUCUAUAAACAGCUAGAAGUGCCUUCUGUGAUUAAUCAGUUCACCAGGGCCUUGGACCACCAAACAGCUGCUCAAUGGGGUAAGCGGGCUGGCAAGUACAGACCAGAGACAAAGCAAGAGAAACAGCAGAGACUGUUGGCCUGGGCUGAGAAGAAAGCAAAGGAGACAUCCCCACUAAGAGAUCACCUGUCCUUUUAAUGGGGGUUAACGCUGUCACCACCUUAGUGGAGAAAAAGAAGGCUCAGCUGGUGGUGACUGCACAGGACAGAGAUCCCAUUGAGUUGGUUGUCUUCCUGCCUGCCCUGUGUUGUAAACUGGGGGUUCCUUACUGCAUUAUCUUUUUUUUUUUUUUUUUUUUUUUUUGAGACGGAGUUUCGCUCUGUCGCCCAGGCUGGAGUGCAGUGGCGCGAUCUCGACUCACUGCAAGCUCCGCCUCCCGGGUUCACGCCAUUCUCCUGCCUCAGCCUCCCGUGUAGCUGGGACUACAGGCGUGCGCCACCAUGCCCGGCUAAUUUUUGUAUUUUUAGUAGAGACGGGGUUUCACCGUGUUAGCCAGGAUGGUCUCGAUCUCCUGACCUCGUGAUCUGCCCAUCUCGGCCUCCCAAAGUGCUGGGAUUACAGGCGUGAGCCACCGCGCCCGGCCCUUACUGCAUUAUCUAAUGGAAGGCAAGCUUGAGACAUCUAGGAUUAAAUAACAAACAAACA
rnacentral:lncRNA from 1 species